AACGAACGCUGGCGGCAGGCCUAACACAUGCAGGUCGAGCGAGAUCUUCGGGUCUAGCGGCGGACGGGUGAGUAACGCGUGGGAAUAUGCCUCUUGGUACGGAAUAGCCUCGGGAAACUGGGAGUAAUACCGUAUGUGCCCUUUGGGGGAAAGAUUUAUCGCCAAGAGAUUAGCCCGCGUUGGAUUAGGUAGUUGGUGGGGUAAUGGCCUACCAAGCCGACGAUCCAUAGCUGGUUUGAGAGGAUGAUCAGCCACACUGGGACUGAGACACGGCCCAGACUCCUACGGGAGGCAGCAGUGGGGAAUCUUAGACAAUGGGGGCAACCCUGAUCUAGCCAUGCCGCGUGAGUGAUGAAGGCCUUAGGGUUGUAAAGCUCUUUCAGCUGGGAAGAUAAUGACGGUACCAGCAGAAGAAGCCCCGGCUAACUCCGUG
rnacentral:rRNA from 1 species